rnacentral:rRNA from 1 species
GCCUAACACAUGCAAGUCGAACGAGUAAGAGCCGUAGCAAUACGGAGUUCUGCUAGUGGCGCACGGGUGAGUAACGCGUGGGAAACUGCCUUUUAGUAUGGAAUAACAGCGGGAAACUGCUGCUAAUACCGUAUACGCCCUCCGGGGGAAAGAUUUAUCGCUAAAAGAUGUGCCCGCGUCAGAUUAGGUAGUUGGUGGGGUAAUGGCCUACCAAGCCGACGAUCUGUAGCUGGUCUGAGAGGAUGAUCAGCCACACUGGGACUGAGACACGGCCCAGACUCCUACGGGAGGCAGCAGUGGGGAAUAUUGGACAAUGGGGGAAACCCUGAUCCAGCAAUGCCGCGUGAGUGAUGAAGGCCUUAGGGUUGUAAAGCUCUUUCGAUAGGGAAGAUGAUGACGGUACCUGGAGAAUAAGCCCCGGCUAACUUCGUGCCAGCCGCCGCGGUAACAC